rnacentral:rRNA from 1 species
AUUGAACGCUGGCGGCAGGCCUAACACAUGCAAGUCGAGCGGAUGAAGGGAGCUUGCUCCUAGAUUCAGAGGCGGACGGGUGAGUAAUGCCUAGGAAUCUGCCUGGUAGUGCGGGAUAACGUCCGGUAACGGGCGCUACUACCGCAUACGUCCUGAGAGAGCAAGUGGGGGAUCUUCGGACCUCACGCUAUCAGAUGAGCCUAGGUCGGAUGAGCUAGUUGGUGGGGUAAAGGCCUACCAAGGCGACGAUCCGUAACUGGUCUGAGAGGAUGAUCAGUCACACUGGAACGGAGACACGGUCCAGACGCCUACGGGAGGCAGCAGUGGGGAAUAUGAGACAAUGGGCGAAAGCAUGAUCCAGCCAUGCCGCGUGUGUGAAGAAGGUCUUCGGAUUGUAAAGCACUUUAAGUUGGGAGGAAGGGCAGUAAGUUAAGACCUUGCUGUUGUGACGUUACCAACAGAGUAAGCACCGGCUAACUUCGUG